UACGUAGGGGGCUAGCGUUGUCCGGAAUUACUGGGCGUAAAGGGUGAGUAGGUGGUCAUUAAAGUCAGAUGUAAAAGGCAAUGGCUCAACCAUUGUAAGCAUUUGAAACUUAAUGACUUGAGUGCAGGAGAGGUAAAUGGAAUUCCUAGUGUAGCGGUGAAAUGCGUAGAUAUUAGGAAGAACACCAGUGGCGAAGGCGAUUUACUGGACUGUAACUGACACUGAGUCACGAAAGCGUGGGGAGCGAACAGGAUUAGAUACCCUGGUAGUCCACGCUGUAAACGAUGAGUGCUAGGUGUCGGCAAGAGAUUGUCGGUGCCGCAGUUAACGCAUUAAGCACUCCGCCUGGGGAGUACGAUCGCAAGAUUGAA
rnacentral:rRNA from 1 species